rnacentral:rRNA from 1 species
UACGGAGGGUGCGAGCGUUAUCCGGAAUUACUGGGUUUAAAGGGUGCGUAGGCGGCCAUGCCAGUCAGAGGUGAAAUCCUAGGGCUUAACUGUAGAAUUGCCUUUGAUACUGUAUGGCUUGAAUCGGGUUGAGGUAUGCGGAAUGUGACAUGUAGCGGUGAAAUGCAUAGAUAUGUCAUAGAACACCAAUUGCGAAGGCAGCAUGCUAGACCUUGAUUGACGCUGAGGCACGAAAGCGUGGGUAGCGAACAGG